rnacentral:rRNA from 1 species
AUACGGAGGGUGCAAGCGUUACUCGGAAUCACAGGGCGUAAAGCGCGCGCAGGCGGCUAUUUAAGUUGGAUGUGAAAGCCUAUGGCUCAACCAUAGAACUGCAUCCAAAACUAUUUAGCUAGAGUGUGGGAGAGGAAGAUGGAAUUAGUUGUGUAGGGGUAAAAUCCGUAGAGAUAACUAGGAAUACCAAAAGCGAAGGCAAUCUUCUGGAACACUACUGACGCUGAGGCGCGAAAGCGUGGGGAGCAAACAGGAUUAGAUACCCUAGUAGUCC